rnacentral:rRNA from 1 species
AACGAACGCUGGCGGCAUGCCUAACACAUGCAAGUCGAACGAAGGCUUCGGCCUUAGUGGCGCACGGGUGCGUAACGCGUGGGGAUCUGCCCUUUGCUUCGGAAUAACAGUUAGAAAUGACUGCUAAUACCGGAUGAUGUCGUAAGACCAAAGAUUUAUCGGCAAAGGAUGAACCCGCGUAGGAUUAGCUAGUUGGUGGGGUAAAGGCCUACCAAGGCGACGAUCCUUAGCUGGUCUGAGAGGAUGAUCAGCCACACUGGGACUGAGACACGGCCCAGACUCCGACGGGAGGCAGCAGUGGGGAAUAUUGGACAAUGGGCGAAAGCCUGAUCCAGCAAUGCCGCGUGAGUGAUGAAGGCCUUAGGGUUGUAAAGCUCUUUUACCCGGGAUGAUAAUGACAGUACCGGGAGAAUAAGCUCCGGCUAACUCCGUGCCAGCAGCCGCGGUAAGAC